CACGAAGGAGAUGCAGUACCCCCUCCCCCACAUACCAGACACUAUACGAGACAGCAUAAGCGUAAAAUGCAUUAGGAUUAGCAUCCCAUAGAGAAACAAAGGAGGACACUCGAGAAUUGGAGUUUCUGACCCUAAGUGAUGAUCAGCACUUAGCUUAGAAAACACCUCACUCUUUCUAGGUUGGACCUGAAAAUGCUUCACAGGUUUGUCCAGCCCCGUACUGAAUGAAGGGGAGCUUGAGUCCUUGCUAAAUGAUCCCUCUUUGAAACCUCAAGUUUUGCCAACAU